rnacentral:rRNA from 1 species
UGAGGAAUAUUGCGCAAUGGGGGAAACCCUGACGCAGCGACGCCGUGUGAGCGAUGAAGGCCUUCGGGUCGUAAAGCUCUGUCAGAGGGGAAGAAAGGGGAUAUGGUUAAUACCCAUGUCCAUUGACGGUACCCUUUGAGGAAGCACCGGCUAACUCCGUGCCAGCAGCCGCGGUAAUACGGAGGGUGCGAGUGUUAUUCGGAAUCACUGGGCGUAAAGAGCACGUAGGCGGAUCGGUAAGUCAGAUGUGAAAUCCCGGAGCUCAACUCCGGAACUGCAUUUGAUACUGCCAGUCUUGAGUGAGGUAGAGGGGGGUGGAAUUCCCGGUGUAGAGGUGAAAUUCGUAGAUAUCGGGAGGAACACCAGAGGCGAAGGCGACCCCCUGGGCCUUUACUGACGCUGAGGUGCGAAAGCGUGGGGAGCAAACAGG